GUCAGGAUGGCCGAGUGGUCUAAGGCGCCAGACUCAAGGUUAAACCUUCUCACUUGAUGAGGCUUCUGGUCUCCGAAUGGAGGCGUGGGUUCAAAUCCCACUUCUGACA
rfam:Danio rerio chromosome 17, GRCz11 reference primary assembly.